ensembl:snoRNA
UGGACAUUUAUUUUUCAUUCCGUUUCUUCUCCAGGUGAAGAUAACGCUUUAUAAAUGUCCUAGAGAAAUAGAGUAGGCUUCUGUCCACCCUUUGCCAGUCAAAAGGGUGGCUCGUUCCACUACUGACAUUU